UACGGAGGGGGCUAGCGUUGUUCGGAUUUACUGGGCGUAAAGGGUGCGUAGGUGGCGUCGUAAGUCGGGUGUGAAAUUUCGGAGCUCAACUCCGAAACUGCAUUCGAUACUGCGGUGCUUGAGGACUGGAGAGGAGACUGGAAUUUACGGUGUAGCAGUGAAAUGCGUAGAGAUCGUAAGGAAGACCAGUGGCGAAGGCGGGUCUCUGGACAGUUCCUGACACUGAGGCACGAAGGCCAGGGGAGCAAACGGG
rnacentral:rRNA from 1 species